CAAUAGCGUAUAUUAAAGUUGUUGCAGUUAAAGCUCGUAGUUGGAUUUCUGGUACAACGCGCCUGGCCGCUAUCGUGAGUGCCGGUGCGCGUUUGCCAUCCUUCUAGAAACGUCUCUACUCGGCAACUGAGCCGGAUUCGCGAUCUAGAUCUUUACUUUGAGAAAAUUAGAGUGUUUCAGGCAGGCUAGGCCGGAAUACAUUAGCAUGGAAUAAUGGAAUAGGACUACGGUCUCUUUGUUGGUUUGAGGGACUGCAGUAAUGAUUAAUAGGGAUAGUUGGGGCAUUAGUAUUUAAUUGUCAGAGGUGGAAUUCUCGGAUUUGUUAAAGACUAACUUAUGCGAAAGCAUUUGCCAAGGAUGUUUUCAUUAAUCAAGAACGAAA
rnacentral:rRNA from 1 species